rnacentral:lncRNA from 1 species
UGCCAAGAGCUUUGGGGAGUAAUUUAUAUUAGUUCUUCUGUAUCCAUUUAUUUAGAUUUUGCUUCUGAAGAAAUCAGCAAGACAAAAUAAUGUGUUUCUUCAUGAAAGCAGAAAACAGUGAAUUUUCAUCAUUAAAAAUGCCUCUACAAUCUACUUUUCCUUUUGGGGUAAAAAUUAUAUCUUUAUGAACUUUGCUUGUUUCUUUCCCUGUUUGGUCAUAUUUUAUUUGUUUGAUAAAUUUGAUAAACUGCAGCAUUCCACAAGAUACUAAAUCAGGCUUAGAUUUUUAAUUAUUGACCCCAUUUUAACUACUGUUUUAUUUUCCAUGUGUGGGCAAAAAAUAGUGGUGUUCCAAAUUGCCAUAACAACAGGCUGCACUCCUUAAAACAAGAUAAGCUGUGUGUCAAAGUAAAACUGUUGCCAUGGUAACCAGUUGAAUAUUUAAAGUGCAGCAUCCUGGUUUAAUCAGUCAAAUUGCUUCUUUUCCAGAAAUCAACUACAUCGGCACUCUUACAGCAGAAACAGUGAAAAAAGGAAAAACAUAGAAGCUAAUAAAAAAUAAUUUCUGUCCUGUAUGUUCCCUUUCUGAUUUUGUUUCAGAAGAGUCACUUAAACUGCUUCUUUCUAACAAGAGUGCAAAUAGUGGAUCCUGUCUUUUAUCCUAGAAUUCUCAGAAAUUCAUCUCAUCUGUUCAAGAUAUACAUUCCCUUAACAGAUGCAGUGCACACCCAGAGGAGGACCCGACUGCAGAGAGAUCGCUGCCACGUGCCGGAUCUACAGAUGCAUUGGGAACGCCUGCCUGUGUAAACACAGAUGCUAUUUUGCAAAAGUUUCUAGAUAGCAGCUGAAUGAUGACUCAGACAUUUUUUGUCACUGCAGAGCUGCACAUGGUCUUGUGUACAGCAUCGUGAAAGACAUUAGAGCAAACGUACCAAUGAAGAGCUCUUUACUCUGGAAUUUUUGUGCACCCCACAUUUUUGCAAUAAUGCUCUCUGCAAUAAGCCAUAAUGUUCUGUGACACGACAUGCAUAGCAAUAAAAAGAGAUAACUGGCAUCCUUAUGUUUAAGU